AUGCAUCAAAAUAUUAGAGAAGCGCCCGCCCCCUCUCUCCCCCUCUCUAACAGCGAAGCAAGAUUUGCGGUAGCCCAUUCUCUGUCUCUCUAACCAGCUGAACAUGGAGGUCUUCUCCACUUCGUUUCUAUUUGAUGCCUGAUUCUAUUCGGUGUGAAAUCAGGCCGGACCUAGGGUUUGUCUCUCUCUUUCUCAAGGACGAAUCUAGGGUUUGAGUUCCUACGCUAAACUAAUUGUAAAGUUUCUGGAUGAGAAACUUCAUUAUGGAAAUAAGAGUACAUUAGAAGAAGAAUUAGGCAUACACUAGAUGAAACCUUGGUUUCAUUCAUCUUUAUACAGGGCAAGGAUGGAAUUGAAGCAUUCUAUAAGACGGAUCUUGCAAAAAGGCUACUGUUGGGAAAGAUUAAUUCCCUUGCUGCAGUGCAGCCCGUGAUCUCUAAGGUGAUUGAUGUUUUACUUUUAAAUGUACUAUUUUAGAACAUAUUUCAUCUCUUUAUCAUAAUAGGAAGUCCUCAUUGCUAUACAAUAGAAGACAGAGUGGGGAAACCACUUUACCAACAAAAUUGAAGGAUUGUUCAAAGUGUGUAUUUUGUUCAUAACAUGCAUAUUUUGUUAUCGGCUUCUAAUUGAAUUAUAUGUAUGUGAUCACAAAGCAUGAGAUCUUGUUGUUCUGUUUUGCUGCUAACUGCUAAUGCACUAUAAAACUUUUAAGCUUGGUUUCACUUCGGUAACAACCUUUUUCUCCCACAACUAAUGUAUUCCACAUUCCUCGAAAGUAACUAGACUCCAUUGGAAUUUGAAAUUAAUAAAUGUGGCAAAUUGAAUUUUUAGAAUAAAUAAAUAUAAUGAUGACAUUCAACCCCCCUAUGCAUGAUCAUAUGCUUCCCCUAUAGGAGUUUUUGGGUAAUCCUGUAUUUUUAUUUUUUGGUUCCUAGCAAAAUUCACACAAUGCUUUUCCAGAUACUAUUUAAUGAAGUGUAUAGAUCAUCAAGCAUUGGAAAUAUUCCGAAAACAUAAAGAAAAAGGAAAAUAAAAGAAAUAAAAGUAGUACAUAAAGUAAAGCAGCUUUGUAACGACCUGAACUCGGGGGUCUGAAUUGCUAUCUGGGUCCUUACUCGGACCCGAGGUCAUCUAAACGCAACGAGGUCAUUUCCAAUGUUAAUACGUAACUUAUACAUCAUCUAAUAUACAUAGGGUGAAAUGUGGCCUGACUGGGUGAAUAGGGAAAUAAGGACAAGGGACUGGACAGUGUUGGCCUACUGAUGGCCUUGUGUCGGUCAGCUGACUGAAAUAGUCAGCCGGUCGAAACAAUAUCUCUGAGGACCCAACUCUCUAUCUUGGCUCGAAAUGCACUAUUGGUCGGCUUGCUAACCUUGCCAACCGGCUGACAGGCCCUGAAAAUCCUGACUCCAAUAAUCCUUUAUUCAACAGGGCUCACUUAUGAGCCAAAACUUGCUACAAAACCUGUCCCAACUCACUACAAAUACGAUAUAACGUCCUAUAACCAUAAUCAUUAAUAAAGUCAUUCAAAGUAGUUCAUUUCAUCCCAUUUAUCCAACAGUAGCAACAUAGUUCUUUACAUGAUUCAAUGGCCAUUACAAAAUAGUCUAAGUUACAUUAAAAUACUACAAAAUAAUCAUAGUUACAAUUACAAGGCCACAAGUUAUAAAGUUAUACAUAUCAUGAUAAUGCUUUACAAAAAUGGAAUUCCAAUUACAAAAGAUAACAAAAAAUAGUCCUCUAAUCCACCUAAGCUUGUGGUGGAACGUCGUCCGCCACUUCCUUCUUGAGACUUGAAAAUAAUAAUGAAAGGGAAAGCACAACGGUUCAGUAGGAGGUGCCUAAAACACACCUCUUAAUGACCACGUGAAUCCAAACAAAGUAUAGAAAGUGAGAGUACGGAAUCAUGCUAUUUUAGAGGGGAAACAUGACAAUAACACAGUCAAUUUAACCAUAUAUACACAAUGCCAUGCCAAUGGGAUGUAAUAAUAUGCCAAUGUCGCUUUCCAUUUUCAAAACUUUUCCGUUUAUCCAUUCCAAACUGUUAAUGCAACUCGGCCCAUUGUAACUCCAUGGCGCCACGAGAGAAGGAUUGACUAACUAUCCUUGACCACAAGGCAUCUCCAAAGCAUCAUUUGGGGAUAGAUAGCUCAACCACACUAGGGCCAUCUCCCUAGUUCCCUCUAAAUCACAUUAAUGCCAUGGACCCUAGGCAACUCCUAGGCACUCAGGUUGUCGCAAAUAAUUCAAAUCUUUUCCCCAAAAUAAGUUUUCUUUCUUUUCAAAAUCAAUUCCCCAUUCAUGCCCAAUGUCCAUACAUAAAUGUCCUAAUAAUGCCAUCACGAUGCCAAUAUAUAAUCUCAUACAUUAAAACAUGCUCAAGUUUGCACAAUUAAGAUAUAAUUAGUACAUUAACUUUCACACCAUUAACUUCAUAUUCAUUGCAUAUAAACAUGUUAGGCGUAUUAUAAUUCAAAUCAAGCAUGCAUUUUCUCCACAAUUCAAAUAGGCAUGCAUAUCAAUUCACUUAUCACAUAAUUACAAAUAUCACAUGUCACAUAUACAAACCCUAAUUGCCACAAUUAAAAUAUACAAAUUAAGCAUGCUUUUAACCAAAUUAAAAAGGAAUAAUGUACCAAAAUCAAAGAAAUGGCCCUUAGAAACCCCUACCUCAACAAUUGAAGAAAAGCCCCAAAUAUAUCGGAAAACCAAAAAUCCCAAGGUGCUCCAAAUCAAGCUUUGCUCCGAUCAAAUCAAAGCUCUUGUCGAGCUCAUAAACUUUGCCUUCAGUGGCAAAGUCGAAAUCUCAAAGGAAGGUGGAAGAUCUGGCCUUGAAUUGGGAAAGAAAGAGAAAAGUUUGUAGAGAGAGAGAAGGAACUGCCGUAGAAAGAGAAGAAGGAAAAUGAUCAAGAAAUGAUCAUGUGGUCAUUUGUAAUGACCAAAAUCAAUGGCGGGUCCCAUGGAGUCAAAAUAUCUAUUUUAUCAUUAUUAUAACAUACAUACUCAUACAUACAUGUCACAACACUUAAUUAACCACAUAGCCACAUAAAUAUGCACUAAAUAAUGAUGCAAGAAAUUAUAAAAGCCCCUGAAAAAUAAUCCCGUGCACGACAAAUUUGGUUGCGGGUUCCGUCCGGGACCUCUCAGCCCGAAAACUGAAAAAUGCCGAAAUGGCAAAUAAUGCAUUUUCAAAAGUCCCAAACUCUAAAAAUUGCCUCAACCGACUUUCGGAACCAACUAGGCACAUCCCAUGGCGCUUGGCACGCAAAACAAGGCAAAGAAAUAAAAUUUUGAUGCAAUUUUGUAAAGAACAGUGCAAUAGAAGUGCAAAACUUAACGCAUCAAUUAGAUGUUCUUCUUGUUAGGGAUGACUUCAAGAGGGCUUUUGUCCUUUUCGCUUGUGGAUCACUUUUAUCACCCAUGUCGAAAAAUGAGAGGAAAAAAAACUUGUUGGGGAAGGUUGACAAUGUGGAUGCUAUUAAAUCGUAUAAUUGGGGGAAGUUUGUUUUAGAUUAGUUGAGAAAAGUCAUUACGUCCUAUAAAGAAAAGGAAGGAAGAGAAGGUUGUAAAUACAUACAUGGAUGCUUGUUCUUUCUCAUUGUAUGUUCUAAGAUAUAAUAUUUGUAAUGUGUCUAUCAUUUUAUUUCAAAUAGUUAUAAUGUAAUUAUCAUAAUGGCUUAUAUCACCAUGUGGAUGUUAACGGCCCAAAACCGAUAGUUGAGAUUUCAUGUCUACGUGGAUGGAUCAACAAAUUAAUUAGCGAGACGUUGAAUUUGGAAAAACGUAAAUAUAAUGGGUUCAAUUGCGGUGAGGUAAAGUUUACAACUCAUACAUCUGAAGAUGUCGAUUAUAAGGUAAUUAUGUCAUGGCUUUUUAUGAUUAGUUCUAAAUAUACGGUUAAAUUUGUAUAUUCACAAUUACUUGUAAAUCUACCGUUAUAUUUAUAUAUUAACUAAUAUAUAUUUAUAAAACUUGUUAAAAAUUGUUAGGAGUUGGCAUAUGAAAUUUAUUACACUGUUUAAAACAUGGAAGCAACGGCACAAUGUAGGCUAAGGUAGGGAGUCGAGAUCCUCACAAAGCCUCACUACAAAACCUAGGCACCAUAUGGGAUCACCUUGGGUUGAAAUAAAGGUCAACUGAUUGCAUGUCGUUAAUACAAUAGUGAAGAUGGUCUAUGCCAUGAACGAGAACAAAAUUCAUAAGUGAGAAAUUAUAUAAAUAAUUAUUUAUUUGCUCUUUAUUUAUUUACUUUCUAUGCUCAAACACUUAAUAUGUUAUUGCUUAAUUAUAGUGAAAUCUUGGUGGAUAUAAAUGAUUUUUACCUCACAAGAAAAGAAAUGAAAACAAUCUCUUACAAUAUUUUUUUUUUCCUAGUUGGUACUCACACACAUAUGCCUUCACUGAGGUUCGAACUAUUGACCUCUCUUUAAGAAGUAGGAGCUUGAUACCGUUAGGCCACUGGCCUGUUGGUCAAUCUCUUACAAUAAUUGGAUACAAAAAAUACAAAAAACCCUAAAAUGUUUAAAUGUUAUCCAUCUACGUUUAACAUUUGGCCUACUAAGACAAAAAACAUUGUCAAAAGCCAGGGGCAAUUCAUAGAUAAAUUUGCAUUGUCAAAAGCCAGGGGCAAUUCAUAGAUAAAUUUGCAUGGUAAUCUGUUUAUUAUGAAAAUAAUUUAACUAAAGACUAAUUCUAAACAUAGAAUAGGCAUAUAUAAUGAAAAAGACUGGAAUUGGAGCAACCUUGCAAACUUUUUUCAAAACAAAAUCAACAAACAUGUCAGCUAAAAUAAACUAAACAACCUUGGAUCUUUAUACUAAAAAAGAUAAUAUAAAAGGAAGAAAAAGGCUUGAAUCAUCAACUGAAUCUUACAAGAAUAAAGUAAAGCGGAAUACAUCAAUUUAUAAAAUGAGAUUCCAUUAAAUAUUAACAUGUAAUUGUAGGCACUGGACAACAGGGUAUUUGAUGAUCCACCGAAUAAAGCUAAAUCUUAUAGGGAGAGGUGGUUAAACCUACUUAACCUUUUCAAUUUUUUUAGAUUUAAAACAAUAAAGUUACAACAUUAUACAAGUAGUUAACUUCACCCCUUCCUGUAAAUUCAGCAACAAAUUAAAAAAAAAAAAAAAAAAAAAA